UAUCGUGCAAAGCACGGUGCCUCGCAACUAGUACAUAUAUUAAACUAUAUAAUAGUAUUUCAGACUUUUGUAAUAUGUUGUUUUGUCUUCAUAUAUAGCAAGAUUUUGGAUAGAAAGAUAUUUCACAAAAGUUUUAAAACAAAUUAAUUACAACUUGUAGGAGCCAAGCAAAGGGAUAAAUGGCAAGAAACAUUCUCAUUGAGAAAUGCAGGGUAAGCAAAACGGUGCAAGUGGUGAACAUAGGGUGCACAGAGGUGGUGCUUGGAAGAAUUCCCUUCACCAGAAGCCUUAAAGCAUUGAAUUAUUGUUUCAACCAAACCACCAAUAGAACAUCAGGAAAGGAGUCACCAGACCUUGCAGCUUAGCUGGAUCCUGAUGACAAGAUGAGCUUAGAAAUAAAUUUAUUUCAUCAGCUUAUAAUCUACAAAUGAAAUUUACUUCAUUCUGUUAUAAUUUCUAAGGUUCUCAAUUACUUUAACAUGUUAAAAUUUUGUUAUGGUUAAUAGGACGACAUCGAUCAGGAUGAUGAAGGCAAUGAUGACUGUGAGCAGAAAUCAUGCCAGCUAGGAGCACGUCAAUACAAGCAUCCGAUUGCAAUUCAUGCUGGGAAACCAAAGAAUGGAUUGAAAGAGGCUUUGAGGGCUGGAAUUGGAAAAAUUAAAUGUCUUAGUUUGAGUGAAACAACACUUGAAAAGGCAACAAAAUCUUAUGGAAUUGACCUUGUGAGGUUCACACAGAAGAAUAUUCUGAGGGUAUACCCAAAGUGGACCCGAGUCACCUCCUCAAAUUUCAAUCCACUUACUGGAUGGAUGCAUGAAGCUCAGAUGGUUGCAUUUAAUCUGCAGGUUAGUUUUGAAGUCUUAUGUCUUCAUAAAAUCAUGUUAUUCAUGUUUUUUUGGUGAGCUUUGGUAAUAUUUUCUCUAUUUCUUAAUCUUGUGUGGUUUGAUUAGUUAAUGAUGUAGAAUGCAAGUUCAGUUAAAAAAUGGCUUAAAUAUAUGGAGUGGGAAAAUAUUACUUUUCAGGAUUGAUUUCUAGUUUUUUAUUCUAUUUUUGCUAUUGACAUCUAUGUAAAGCUUAUAUUACACACU